GGUUGACCAGCGGAUCCUGGAAAUUGGCGAGCUGGAACGGAUCGAAGAAGCCGCCCGGAUUGCCCGUCAGGAGACUGAAGAUGCGGGUCGAGCCGGACCAUUGCAGCCACAGAUAAGCCAACUCCUGAUAGUUGCUUUGCGUCGAAACGCCGCCGUUAUUGCCGAGAUAGAUGGUCGAGCGGCGCACCAGAUCGCCGCCGAAUUGAUGGCCCGGCGGCA
rnacentral:ncRNA from 1 species